UUCUGGCUCAGGAUGAACGCUAGCGACAGGCUAACACAUGCAAGUCGAGGGGCAGCAUAAAAGUAGCAAUACUUGGUGGCGACCGGCGCACGGGUGAGUAACGCGUAUGCAACCUACCUAUCAGGAGGGGAAUAACCCGGCGAAAGUCGGACUAAUACCGCAUAAAACAGGGGCACCGCAUGGUGAUAUUUGUUAAAUAAAUUCGCUGAUAGAUGGGCAUGCGUUCCAUUAGGUAGUGGUGAGGUAACGGCUCACCAAGCCGACGAUGGAUAGGGGAACUGAGAGGUUGGUCCCCCACACUGGUACUGAGACACGGACCAGACUCCUACGGGAGGCAGCAGUGAGGAAUAUUGGUCAAUGGGCGGGAGCCUGAACCAGCCAAGUCGCGUGGAAAAGGAAGAAGGAUCUAUGGUUACGUAAACUUCUUUUGCAGGGGAAUAAAGUGCAGGACGUGUCCUGUUUUGUAUGUACCCUGAGAAUAAGGAUCGGCUAACUCCGUGCCAGCAGCGGC
rnacentral:rRNA from 1 species